rnacentral:rRNA from 1 species
UACGUAGGGCGCAAGCGUUGUCCGGAAUUAUUGGGCGUAAAGAGCUCGUAGGCGGUCUGUCGCGUCUGGUGUGAAAACUCGAGGCUCAACCUCGAGCUUGCAUCGGGUACGGGCAGACUAGAGUGCGGUAGGGGAGACUGGAAUUCCUGGUGUAGCGGUGGAAUGCGCAGAUAUCAGGAGGAACACCGAUGGCGAAGGCAGGUCUCUGGGCCGCAACUGACGCUGAGGAGCGAAAGCAUGGGGAGCGAACAGGAUUAGAAACCCCCGUAGUCC